rnacentral:rRNA from 1 species
UCGAUUUGGAGUUUGUUGCCUAGAGUGAUGGGCUCCGAAGCUAACGCGAUAAAUCGACCGCCUGGGGAGUACGGCCGCAAGGUUAAAACUCAAAUGAAUUGACGGGGGCCCGCACAAGCGGUGGAGCAUGUGGUUUAAUUCGAUGCAACGCGAAGAACCUUACCUGGUCUUGACAUCCACAGAAUCUUGCAGAGAUGCGAGGGUGCCUUCGGGAACUGUGAGACAGGUGCUGCAUGGCUGUCGUCAGCUCGUGUUGUGAAAUGUUGGGUUAAGUCCCGCAACGAGCGCAACCCUUAUCCUUUGUUGCCAUUGGUUCGGCCGGGAACUCAAAGGAGACUGCCGUUGAUAAAGCGGAGGAAGGUGGGGACGACGUCAAGUCAUCAUGGCCCUUACGACCAGGGCUACACACGUGCUACAAUGGCGUAUACAAAGGGAGGCGACCUCGCGAGANCAAGCGGACCUCAUAAAGUACGUCUAAGUCCGGAUUGGAGUCUGCAACUCGACUCCAUGAAGUCGGAAUCGCUAGUAAUCNUGAAUCAGAAUGUCACGGUGAAUACGUUCCCCGGNCCU